rnacentral:lncRNA from 1 species
GCAAUCAUAUCAUAGUACAUUCAACUUUAUUUUUCUUUUCAGUUUCCCUCUGCUGUCUUUGUCUGCUCUAGAAAAUAUCUUACGGUAUCAUUUAUUGCAGCAAGCAUAGCGUGUAGAAUUUUUUAAACCCUCGCGUCUGUGUUGUCAGACCAAUCAGACAUCGACCACCAGAAAGCUAAAAGUCACAAAAAAAAGGUGAUCAACGGUGUAAGCAAGCUAAAACUACAAUCCAAAGGUUUUGGUUCGUUUCUAGAUCGUCUUUUUUUUCCUUCUUGGAACAGGAUUUGCGGUUACCAAAACUACAAUCCAACGGCCUUUUACCGGACAAGAUUUUUUUUGAUCGAAUCCAGAUUUUUUUUUGAAGAGGAUCAAUAUGUGUGCUUGAAGCAAGAUAUGAGAAAUUAUGUGGCAUUUUGUCAAGAUCUUAAGCUACAAUAUUAUUUUGGGUUGGUCCUUGCUUUCUAUAUGUUUGUAGCCUGUAGCUGAUUCAUGUGCUGCUUGCUGGCUGUAGCUAAUUGAUGUGCCACCAUCCGUGCAGUACGUUUGUCCAGCAUUCACCAUCUCAGCCAAAUUGGGUGGGAUCAAAAUCUGAUCGAAACAGAACCAUUUGUGAUGGGCUUUGCGCGUG